UCGUACAACAGUUCUCCAGUGCAUUAUAAAAACUUAAAGUGGAGUUUUCUUAAUUCUUUCGUCUAGAUAUUGGGAGCAAUUUCAGUUGGCGUAGGAAGCUUUGGACACUUUGAAUCAUUCUACAUUUGGCAAAUAAAGGAGGAAGCGUUUCUUUCGUCUACGGUUUCAUGUUUGGGAAUUUCGUUAUUCUAUUUUCUCGCAAAUUUAAGCAGUUUGAAAUUACAAAAUAGCAGUGCUAACAGGAUAUUCGGCAUUGUUUUCCAUUUGCUAGCUGGAGUUUUGCUUAUGAUUGUUGGAAGUUUGACAAUUGAAUCGACUGUAGAAAUUGAUCGAAAAAUUUGUAGAUUGUAUCCGUUGUGGCCAUAUUCUGUUCAAUGUCAAUUAUACACAGAAAAAUUGGUGGCUUCCAUAAUUGCAGUUGUGAAUGGGUUAUUGUACGCAAUUUCCGCCCUACUCAUUUUUGCUACGUAAUGAGAUGACGCAAGGAAUAAUCGGAAACGAAGAUGUGCAAAAUGAAUCUUCUCGCUUUUUUGCGGAUGUUUAUUUUUGUGCAGUGUCAAUUAUACAAAUUUAUAGCACUUUCUUGCUCGCAAUAUAUCAUUUAUUAUAAGAA